GAUGAAGAACGUAGCGAAAUGCGAUACGUAAUGUGAAUUGCAGAAUUCAGUGAAUCAUCGAAUCUUUGAACGCAUAUUGCGCUCUCUGGUAUUCCGGAGAGCAUGCUUGUUUGAGUAUCAGUAAACACCUCAACUCCCCUUUCUUUUUUGAAAUGGGAGCUGGACUUGAGUGAUCCCAACGCUUUUCUCACCGAAAAGUGGCGGGUUACUUGAAAUGCAGGUGCAGCUGGACUUUUCUCUGAGCUAAAAGCAUAUCUAUUUAGUCUGCCUAAAAAACAGAUUAUUACCUUUGCUGCAGCUAACAUAAAGGAGAUUAGUUCUUGUGCUGACUGAUGCAGGAUUCACAGAGACAGCUUCGGCUGGCCUUUGUAAACUCGAUCUCAAAUCAAGUAAGACUACCCGCUGAACUUAAGCAUAUCAAAAGCGGAGGA
rnacentral:misc_RNA from 1 species